UGCGUGACCUAAGAAAUGACUUCAAGUU
rnacentral:piRNA from 1 species